CAUUUGAAUGGGGGAAAGGAGAGCGCGCAGCGCUGCGGCCGCGGGCCGUGCCCCGGGGCACUGUGGGAUUGCGGCGGGGCGCUCAGGGGCUCCUGCCCCUCCCCCGCCUGGCGGCCGUACCUCAAUGUCCGACGGCCGGGCUGUGUCACCGGGCCGCGAUAACAGUGAUGGUUUGGCCCGUGGCUGCUUAGGGCUCGUAAUCGUGACAGGAUUUCCUCACACAGAGCUGCAUGUAGGGAACCUGUGUGAGAGUGGGGCUGCGUGGCCCAAAGUUCACCUCAGCAACUCCUGAGAGGAGCUGCACAGUGCGAUGUGUGGGCUGUGAAGGAAAGUUGAAGGAGCUGGGCCCGUUCAGCUUGGAGAAAGCACUGUGGAAACUUCACUUCUUCUGGCUGAUGUGUUGCAGACACGAGGCCCACAUCUGGAACUUGCAGGCCAUGUAACGUGGCGCUCGUUUUCUAUCUACUGUUCCUGUCGUAGCCAGAACAGCACAAGAAGUAUCUUUCAGGAUGUGAGUACCCAGCUUUAGUGGCCACUUUUUGUGUAGCAAAGGUUCUAAUACGUGAGGCAGAGACAUGGAAAGAAUUGGAGGGAGAAUUGCUAUGUGAAAAGCAGAGAAAAGAUGAAGGCAGAAUGGAGCAUAUGAAGGAGAUAACUGGGAUUUGGGGAUGUUUUGCUUGUGUGAGUGCUGCUCCCAGAUUGUUUUAUCAUCAGGACGAACGUGCUGGAGGUUGUGCUUUAACCCAAGGCAAAGAGGUGGUAAAGUUGUCAUCCAGAAGAGCACACAGCUUGUAUUUCACUUGAAUAAUCAGACUGGUUGUGGCCAUUGCUCUGCCAUUGCCAACUUGCUCUCUGAGCAAGUGUAUCACACCUAUCUGAACUGCAGUAUUUCUGCUGGGAAGCCACUGCUGCUUUCUAUGUCUGGGACCAAUGCUAGGAGCCUGUCUAGAAGAGCAAAGGGAGCUGCCUGCACAGGACUGAGGUGCCCUGGGAAUGGGCCUUAAAUUCCCUGCUGUGAGAGAAAAAAGGGAUGGCAAGAAGGAAAAGAAUUGUAAAGAGCGGCAGGCUGGGCACUGUUUGUGCUGCCUCAUUUUAACCCUGAUCUAGCCCAGAAUUUCAUCUGUUCUCAUCUCUGUGCAGAGAGCAGGGAAGUCUGAGGUUGUGUCAGUAACAUUCACCACCCAGCCUGUGCUUUCUAGAACACCAGAUCCCAGGGGAACCUCCAGUCUCUACACAGUGAUGUUUAAUGGCACAGUAACUUCUGCUCUGUUCUGUCCUUGUCAUAUUGGAGCUCAGGUCACAAGGAAGAGGUAGGAAUGGGGCAGGACUGAGUGUGGGCACAAAGAACAGCGGAUAAACAGUUUGAACAGAGCUCUGGAGGAUGUUCUUUGUGAAUGAACACACCAAGGUGCUGUGUCAGAGGCCAUGAAAAGAACCACACAUCCUCCAACCAUUUAAUGGGAGCAAUUCUAUCUCUACAACACAAGAGAAUUGAGCAAGCCUUGUGCAAUCACAUGUAAGGUGUUCAGGGUUUUAUUUACAUGAAAGAGGGCUUUGCAUUGGAAAGAAUCAUCCUUGAGUCUUUCUCCUGUUUGAUUCUGCAGAUGGAAUUAAGGUUUUCCCUUGGAGCAAUAAAAGCCAUUCUAAGGGAACACUCUUUAAGUCCCUUUCUGGGGCUAAUGUUUGUUAUCAGAUACACACAAACACACAGAAACACAGCAACCAAAGACAGAUGAUGCUGGUAGAAGAAUACUGAGAGGGUGUAUGUGAGCUCAGAAUAAAUAAGAAUAAAAAGUAAUAAUAAUUGCAAUAGUUGCAAGGGCUUUUCCCUGCACGCUGUAGUGGGCACACUCACUCCCUGCACACUCACAGGAGUCCAGGGUUCCUCUUUCCUCAGCCACGUGUGGUGUGUGAGCCUCACACUGUCUGUCCCUUCAGUGUAAGCGCUGUGUGGGAAGUCUGGCUCUUGCUGCUCAAAUUGCUCCUAUUUAGAGCCUGUUUAUUGUCCCAGUAGCUGCUCACCAGACAGCUCCAGUCCCUGAGUAGGCAGGCACAUCAUUACACAGACCUCAAACUCCUCUUCCUUACCCUACAUUCAUUGAAGGACGUUGAGGCUGUGGAACAAAAAGUCAUUCCCAAAGAGGAGCAAGCUACAGCCACCGACCUUUCAGCAACCCAGCAACUGCAGACGUCCCAAUUUCAUUUGCUGUUCAUCAGCCUCUGAGGUAAAUGUUUAGCAAGUGAAAUAAUGAUAAAACUCCUCACAAUGGGAGAGGGAAGCAGUGAGUCAGCAUUAGAAAUGAAACUUCAGGACCCCAGAUAAGGAUGUUAUAGAAGUAGAUGGCCAACAAAAAUGCAAUGUUCAUUUUUCAGAUGCAUCGAUAUUCACAGUAAUUAGGAAGUUCCUUUGGCAGUUUGCAAAGAUCCACCUUGGACAGAAUGCAUUGCAACCCCUCUGGAUCCCCUCACAAUUAUACAAGACGGAAGCAGGAAACAAAACAAAAUAUACUUUAUUAAAAUUAAGCACGUUAGCACCUCAGUGUAACCUGGAGAAGUCAAAGAGUCCAGCAGUUAACCAGUCCAGCGGGCUAAAGUGGCUGAACGUCCUGAAGUGCAUUCAUUCCAAUGGUAAAAAAAGUACCAUGACGGUUAAAAUGUGUGUUCUCAAGAAGCUAGGAUGCACAAAUGGUCUCGUUUGUAAGGAGAGACGUUGUGCUGCCUAUUGUCUUGAUGGGAGCAUAGAUCUGCUGGACCAAUUACUGAAUCACAUAGGCUGGCAGGUAUCUGCUUUCCUUACCAGCCCCCUUAACCCCUCAAAAGAAAAGUAAACGAAACAAACUUGCUGCUUACUUGACUUGCAGGAAGAUCAGUACACUGCAGAGCUGGAGUUAGAGCUACAUAUCAGAGAGAAUAAAUUAAAAUGAAAGAACAGGGAAUACUUAGUACAUGAAUAGACCUGUAGUAUCCUCACAGUCAACCAUCCAUCUCAGUACACACAGCAAUAAAGAAAUGACCCAUGCAUCACAUAGCAGGCUCUGACAACCAAUGCCUUCAGCUGAACUGGCUCCAUGAUCGACAGAUAAACCUCCAGCUACCAGAUGCCAAUGUGCCCCUUUUGUUCCCUCCUACAGAGGACAUAGAAACCCCCGGUUGGAAAGCAAUGUUAGCCAGCAUUACAAAGAUGACAGUAUUUUCAACCCAAAGCUACUUUUGACAUUUAGAAAAUACUUAUAGAAAAUGUAGUCAAAUCGCCGUCUCAACCUACUAAGUGUGUGUAACACAUCCCAAGUACAGGAAGAUGAUCUUAAAGACCCAGUAGCCACCUGGGCACUCCCUCAAUAAUAAUUAUGGGCACACUGUGGUGAACUGCCUUUUGUUUCCAACACACAUAAUAGUCAACCUGUCCCUCCCCCCCCAAGUACACAUGGAGAUGGAGUCAGAGCUGCAUACCAGAUGCCCUCCUCCUGGAGAGCACUAAGGGCUCCAUCCCAUGCCUCAGUCCAAGCUCAUCACCUCACAGCUCUCAUUCACAGCCUUCUGGCCAACUUCCAUUUGGUUUCCUGUUGCUGAACGUGAGGGGACAAACGCUGGCUAGAAACAGAAACUACACAAUCAUUCCACGUCAAUUUUGAUACAAUACUUUUAAAUCUCUGUUUAAAACACGCAAGCACAUUUCGUUAAGGUCUUACCUAAGGUACAGGUUAUUAGUCAUGCCAACUAGGUUAGGGUUAGACAGCAAAGGUUCGCAACCACUGCAGAUACAUUUUUGCUUCACUUUGGCUUCACCCCAGUUCGCUGAACCAAAGCCAAGGAUUUCAAUUCCAACGUGUUACAAAGCCUGUGGGAGUUCUUAAGCCACUGGGAUAAACUACAGACAUCAAAUGCCACCAGGUCCUUUGUACCAGGUCACAAUCCUCGCUAGUGUUGAGAGCAGAGACAACUGUAACAAAGCCGUAUGUACUGCUGAGAAAGCCAAGCCUAUAUGAGCACUCUUACACUGGGGACUGUUUCACACUAGAAAUGGCAGUUCUUUUACGGCGUCAGUAAUUUACUGAAGAAACACAUCACCCUGAGAGGGUUUCUAAAGCUUUCCUCAUGCCUUUGCUAAGCAAGGCCAAGCAAAACAUCGCUGUUCAUUCCUAUGAUGGGUACAGUGGCGACCAUGCUUUCAGACGUGCCUUCUCCAGGGGGUAGUGUUCCUGCCACCUCACUGAGCGCAGUUUAUGUGCUUCAAACCAACACCCUACAUCCACUUAGUGGUGACGUGGGGUCCCAAUGCCCUAAAUGAGAACGACUGCAAACUACACACAGGAUGCCAGCGGACUCGGCGUAGGCCAGAGGUGUCUCUAAGAGAACGCUGUGUGU